CCAGAAGGGCAGAGAGCACAGGUCGGCAGCACAGAGGCUGCAGAGUGGAGUGAGCCAACGAGAGAGCGGGGUGCUCUCAGUCCACAACCUGGUACUCCGGGCCGGGCGUCCCCUCCCGGCCCGGGCUGCGGGCUCCCCGCUCCCAACCCCUCGGGCUCCAGGCUCCGAUCCCAGCUCGGGGAUGAGCUGCCGAGGCGUUUGAAGUCCUUCAGGCAGAGAGAAAGGACAAAAAGAGAACGAAAGGAGAGGACCGAAGGAAAGACGGCUUGAGAGAGCUCCACGGGCCCAGAGUGAGGCGGGGGUUGAUCCAUCUGUCCUUUCGUCCGUCAGUCCGGCGGGGUCACCGGCGCCUGCGUUACCUGGGCGGGUCGGUAGCGUCCUCAGUCCGGCUAAGGGCAGUCAUCACUGGCACUCUCCCCAAACAAGAACCACCGACACUGCAGGACCAGACAGCCGUGGCGGUAGCCGCUACCCAGACCCUGCGGCCCGCCCCAUCAGCCCAUUGGCUGCUUCUGCCGGUCCGCCCAGGGAGAACACCUUCCUUGAAAGUGCUGACCAGACCAAUACUUGGCUGCAAUCAACAAGACCAGGACUGGGAGAAGAGAAGCAUUAAUGACCUAGAGCAGAGGACUGACCAAUCCUCUGGGGAGAUGUUCUUCCCUUGUGGCCAGUUCCCAAAAAGCACCCCCUUAGCUGCCCAAACUCAGGACUCUUCUCUUCCUAUCUCCAGAGGUUAGGCUUUGAGAUCUCCACCAUUCUCCCCUUAAACUUCAUGAACUGUGAAUAGCAUCAUCCAACUGGGCUGUGAACUCCCUUUAUCUACUCUGGCAGACUACUUAGUGUCUACAAAUAUGUCCAUAUCUUCCCCAUGUCUCAAAACCCCUCACCUCCUCCAUCCAUCCCCACUAAUUAUUUUUCUAUACCUUUCAUGGCUAACCUUGAGAAGGCUGUCUAGAAGAGGUUCCUCUACUUCCUGUCCUCUUACUUGCUUCUUAAUUCUCUAUAGUCUGGCUUCGGACCUCACCAGCAGUUUCAAUCAAAAUUGUUCUCCUCAAAGUUACUAAUAAUCUUGUAACUGACAGAUCCAAUGGCCUUUCCUCAAUCCUUAUCUUGACCUCUCUGCAACCUUUGACACUGUCCAUCACCCUCUUCUCCAUGAUACUCUCUUCUGUUUAGGUUGUUAGGCUACUACUGUCUCCUGUUUCUCCUUGUACCUAUCUAACUGCUCCUUCUCAGUUUCUUCUGCUGGAUCUUCUUCCAUGGCCGUUCCAUAGGGCUCUGUCCUGGGCUCUUCACCUGGGGAUCUCAUUAGUUCCCAUGGAUUCAAUUAUCAUCUCUAUGUUGAUAACUCUCAAAUCUGCUCAUCUCUAAGCUUGUGCCUCCAAUUGCCUUAAUACAUGCCUGUUUUUAAAAAAAUAUAUAUAUAUAUAUAUUAUUUUCUCCCAAUUACAUGUA
rnacentral:lncRNA from 1 species